CGCCCAACGUGGGGCCUAACCCACGACCCUGAGAUUGAGUCUCAUGUUCUACUGACUGAGCUAACUGGGC
rnacentral:tRNA from 1 species